rnacentral:rRNA from 1 species
UACGCUGGCGGUAGCCUACCAUGCAAGUCGAACGGCAGCACAGAGAGCUUGCUCUUAUGGUGUGACGAGUGGCGGACGGGUGAGUAAUACAUCUCGAAACUCCCUCGUGGCGGGGGAUAUCGCAUGGAAACUCUCACUAAUAUCCGCAUAACGUCGACGGGUGAAAGAGGGGGAUCUUCGGGCCUUGCGCUAUUAUAUGAGCCUAGGUCGGAUUAGCUAGUUGGCGAGGAAAGGGCUCACCAAGGCGACGAUCCGUAUCUGGUCUGAGAGGAUGAUCAGCCACACUGGAACUGAGACACGGUCCAGACUCCUACGGGAGGCAGCAGUGGGGAAUAUUGGACAAUGGGCGAAAGCCUGAUCCAGCCAUGCCGCGUGUGUGAAGAAGGUCUUCGGUGUGUAAAGCCCUUUUGGUUGGGAGGAACCCCAGUGCUCUAAUACGUGUGUGAUUUGACGUUACCCACAGAAUAAGCACCGGCUAACUCUGUGCCAGCAGCCGCGGUAAUACAGAGGGUGCAAGCGUUACUCGGAAUUACUGGGCGUAAAGCGCGCGUAUGUG